rnacentral:rRNA from 1 species
UGGGGAAUCUUCCGCAAUGGACGAAAGUCUGACGGAGCAACGCCGCGUGUAUGAUGAAGGUCUUCGGAUUGUAAAGUACUGUCAUUGGGGAAGAACGGUUUUCUUGAAAAGAUUGAGAAGACAUGACGGUACCCAAGGAGGAAGCCCCGGCUAACUACGUGCCAGCAGCCGCGGUAAUACGUAGGGGGCAAGCGUUGUCCGGAAUUAUUGGGCGUAAAGGGCGCGUAGGCGGGCCUUUAAGUCCGGUGUGAAAGAUCAGGGCUCAACCCUGAGAGUGCAUCGGAAACUGGAGGCCUUGAGGACAGGAGAGGAAAGUGGAAUUCCACGUGUAGCGGUGAAAUGCGUAGAUAUGUGGAGGAACACCAGUGGCGAAGGCGACUUUCUGGACUGUAACUGACGCUGAGGCGCGAAAGCGUGGGGAGCAAACAGGAUUAGAUACCCUGGUAGUCCACGCCGUAAACGAUGAGUGCUAGGUGUAGAGGGUAUCGACCCCUUCUGUGCCGCAGUUAACACAAUAAGCACUCCGCCUGGGGAGUACGGCCGCAAGGUUGAAACUCAAAUGAA